AACGUAGGGGUCGAGCGUUAUCCGGAAUUACUGGGCGUAAAGCGCGUGCAGGCGGCAGUGCAAGUCGGACGUGAAAGCUCCUGGCUCAACUGGGAGAGGCCGUUCGAAACUGCACUACUUGAGGACGGUAGAGGCGAGUGGAAUUCCCGGUGUAGUGGUGAAAUGCGUAGAUAUCGGGAGGAACACCAGAGGCGAAGGCGGCUCGCUGGGCCGUGUCUGACGCUGAGACGCGAAAGCCAGGGGAGAGAACGGG
rnacentral:misc_RNA from 1 species